GGAAGGCAAGGAUCCAGCGAAUCAGGCGGUGCAUCCAUCGGGGGUUGGCUUCUGGUCCAGUUCGAGUCCAAAGCCGCCGAUUCCGAGGACCGGCACUAGCCCCCGGCGCCAAGGAGAUCCGACAAGGACGCCGAGCGCCGCUGCCGCUCCGCCAUCCAACCGCGCGAAAAAAUCUCGGCUUCCCGUCGAGAAAAAUCCAAGCCAAUUCUCCCACGGGUCCUGCCACUGCCGCAGCGCUGCUCUGCUCCUCUUCUUCCUCGCCCCCUUUCCGAGCGAGAGAGGGGACAAGCGCUCCGUACAUAUACCUCGACUCACUGCCUGAAGCUGCUCGCCUGCUCCUGCUCUGCUCCGGUUCGCCAAGAAAUACAGGAGAAGGGAGGGGAGGAGACUUGUCUUGUCACUUCUCCAGUGGUUCUUACUAUCGGCGCGCUGGGUUGAUCGAGCGGAGAACAGUGGUGGUGGUGGUGCUCAGCCGAGAGGUCAGGUCAGUGGUCAGGAGUUGGGAGCAGUGGACUGAUUGUCUAUCUCCCCCUCUCGUUCUCCGUUCCUUUUUGGAAGUGAAGCGAUCCUCCUCCCCGUGGGUCUGCUGCCCGGAGGCUGGAGCUAGAAGAAGAAGCAGGGUAGCCUGCCUUGCUCGUUCCCCUUUCUGCUUCCUUCCAGGUCUGCUUUGCCGCUCAUCUUCCAGUCCCGGCGGCCGUGGCGGCAUGGACGGCAAUGGGAGAUCGGCGGCGAGUCACAAGAAGCCUCUCGUCGCGGACAACGACCUGGUGGAGCUGCUGUGGCACAACGGGGGCGUCGUCGCGCAGCCGCAGACGCACCCGAGGCCGGCGCCCAGCGGCCUCGCCGGCGGUGGCGGGGAGACGGCCGCGUGGUUCGCGGACGACGUCGACGCGCUGGGGAACGACGUGUACGCGCAGCUCUGGAACAGCAUUGCGGUGGGCGCCGCCCCGGACGUCGCGUGCGCGGCGCUCCCGGGGCCCAGCUCCCACCCUCCCCCGCCGCCGCCGCCGCCGCCGAUGCCGAGCGGCAUCGCCUCCAGCUGGACCGGCGGCGACAUCGGCUCCACCUUCUGCGGCAGCAGCCUGGUCCCGGAGGUGCCGGCGGGGGGCAGGGAGGAAGCCAGCGCCGCACCGCCGUCGGAGGGGACGCGCGGGGCCAGCACGCGCGACGGCGGCGCCGGCACCUCGUCGUCCGGCGGGUCCGGGAGCAACUUCGGGGGCUCCGGCCUGCCGAGCGAGAGCGGCGGCCAUGCCCACAAGAGGAAGGGCAGGGGCAAAGACGACUCUGAUAGCCGCAGCGAGAGGAAAUUGCAGGAUGUGGAGUGUGAGGCCACUGAAGAGACCAAAUCGUCGAGGCGGCACGGGUCGAAGCGGAGGAGCAGGGCAGCUGAAGUUCAUAACCAGUCAGAGAGGAGACGAAGGGACCGGAUCAACGAAAAGAUGCGGUCACUGCAAGAACUCAUACCCCACUGCAACAAGGCUGACAAAGCAUCAAUAUUAGAUGAGGCGAUCGAGUACUUAAAGUCCCUCCAAAUGCAAGUUCAGAUUAUGUGGAUGACCACCGGGAUGGCGCCAAUGAUGUUUCCUGGUUCUCACCAGUUCAUGCCGCCGAUGGCCGUGGGCAUGAAUUCGGCAUGCAUGCCUGCGGCACAGGGUCUAAAUCAGAUGGCAAGAGUGCCAUACAUGAACCAUUCUUUGUCAAAUCACAUCCCUAUGAGCCCAUCUCCAGCAAUGAACCCUAUGUACAUUGCAAACCAGAUGCAAAACAUUCAGCUGAGGGAAGCAAGUAACCAUUUCCUUCACCUAGAUGGCGGGCAAGCAACGGCACCUCAGGUAGCAGGACCAUAUGCUUAUACACCACAAGUAGCACCGAAAAGCCAGAUACCGGAAGUGCCGGAUUGUACUGCUGUGCCAAUUUCUGGGCCCGGACAACCACCUGCACCUGAUGGAAUUUAGAGUGACCUUGAACUAGGUAUGGACUGUGUCGCCGACCUGCACAUGGGCCAUCUUUCUGGAAUUUUCUGAAAAUACUAACAUGAUGAGAAGAUAGUACCCAUAUUGCUGUUAUAUGUCUCGAUCAAUAUGCGUCCGACAUAAACACUAGAAGUAUUUGUAAAUGCUGAUAACACUGUUCCCUCCCAUUUAUGUCGGAAAAGUAUAUCAUCAGUACACGUCUAACUCCAAUUCCCUCUGUGCAUACUACUCACAACUUUCUAUACAAAAAUGUACUAACCAUGAUAGUAUUAGGUUUGCACCCAUUUGAAAAUAUACUUCUAUGGCAAGCUUUACCUUUAAUUUUUGUUUUAUUGGUAUUAUCGUCUCCGAGACGUCUGGUUUAUUCAAGAGAAGGGAAAAGAAAAGGUUUCAAGUUCUUGUUGUCAAAUGGCCAACAUCCAACCAACCAGAUCCAGUGGGGGAGGAACAGAAGGGGUCAAAACAGUUAUGUCCUACAGAAGCUUAUUGGAUAUCAAAACCUUGCUCUUCUUUAAAGCCAAGAUUUGGUCUGCAGGCGAAGAACGAACUUGCCGGGGCCGCCACGGAGCUGUCCGCUUCGCCGUGCCCGCCUGCGAGCGUGUGCGCACAGUCACUCCGGCGUUAUGCUUAUCGGCAAAGCUCCCUCGGCGAGCAUCCUCGCUCCUGUGGCUCACAUUCUGGGAGGGAAGUUCUGUGGUGAUACAAGAGUUUGCGGUUUCUCUCCUGCUUUUGCCUGGAGUCCACGGCACCCAGCCCAGCCCAAGCCAAGUGCAGGCUGCUGUUGUUACAUGGUCCUCCUGGCAACUACCAGAUUCAGAUGCUGCUCACCGGGGCCUGCCCGGUGCAACUGGCCGUGGGAUCGUAUCGUAUCCCCUGAGCUUUCCUGUCUACCGCAACUGGUAAGAUGCCGGAUUCCCCUGGAACUUGCUGCUCACCUGUUGCAAUCUCGGCGCUUUUCUUCUGGAUGAAAAUGACGCCCUUCGACGCGUGUUUGAGCCAAAUAAUUUUGUCUCUCCUUGUGCUGUGCUGUGCCGUUGUUUUCCUGGAUUUUGUACAGUUUGUCAGUUGCAUGCGUCGUGGUAGAAGGGUUUCUGCCUGUGUCUCGAAGUGUGGCUAUGUGUUGGAUGAACAAGUAGCAAAAAUAGAUUUUGCAAAAAAAAGGAGGAUAGAAAUAAAAAUUGGCUUCGCCCGGGUUCGAACCGGAGA